UUGGGCGUAAGCGCGCGCAGGCGGUUUCUUAAGUCUGAUGUGAAAGCCCACGGCUCAACCGUGGAGGGUCAUUGGAAACUGGGGAACUUGAGUGCAGAAGAGAAAAGCGGAAUUCCACGUGUAGCGGUGAAAUGCGUAGAGAUGUGGAGGAACACCAGUGGCGAAGGCGGCUUUUUGGUCUGUAACUGACGCUGAGGCGCGAAAGCGUGGGGAGCAAACAGGAUUAGAUACCCUGGUAGUCCACGCCGUAAACGAUGAGUGCUAAGUGUUAGAGGGUUUCCGCCCUUUAGUGCUGCAGCUAACGCAUUAAGCACUCCGCCUGGGGAGUACGGUCGCAAGACUGAAACUCAGAGGAAUUGACGGGGGCCC
rnacentral:rRNA from 2 species